rnacentral:misc_RNA from 1 species
GGAGGAUAUGCUGUCCAGCUAAAAGAGUGGGAACCUUUAAGACACAAUUUAGCAAAACAAUCUGCAACCUGAUUUGCAGUCCUUCUAACCAAGGACAGAACCCUGGGGCAAGGAGGAUAUAGCAACCUUAAUACAGCCACUGGUCUCAUUAAUUAGGUUGCAUUACAAGCGGGCAAUACAUGCAAAGCUUGUAAAUGACUUAAAAGUACACCACUUUUCAAAUGCUUUUUUGUGCUCUCGAAGGGUGAUAUGGCCAAUGGGGAAAAAGACUUACUUGCGUCAAAGAGGAUUACAAAUUGUUCAACGUUUUUUGC